rnacentral:rRNA from 1 species
AAAUUGAAGAGUUUGAUCAUGGCUCAGAUUGAACGCUGGCGGCAGGCCUAACACAUGCAAGUCGAACGGUAACAGAAAGCAGCUUGCUGCUUUGCUGACGAGUGGCGGACGGGUGAGUAAUGUCUGGGAAACUGCCCGAUGGAGGGGGAUAACUACUGGAAACGGUAGCUAAUACCGCAUAACGUCGCAAGACCAAAGAGGGGGACCUUCGGGCCUCUUGCCAUCGGAUGUGCCCAGAUGGGAUUAGCUAGUAGGUGGGGUAACGGCUCACCUAGGCGACGAUCCCUAGCUGGUCUGAGAGGAUG